UACGAAGGGUGCAAGCGUUACUCGGAAUUACUGGGCGUAAAGGGUGCGUAGGUGGUCGUUUAAGUCCGUUGUGAAAUCCCUGGGCUCAACCUGGGAAUGGCAGUGGAUACUGGACGGCUAGAAUGCGGUAGAGGGUAGUGGAAUUCCCGGUGUAGCAGUGAAAUGCGUAGAGAUCGGGAGGAACACCAGUGGCGAAGGCGACUUCCUGGACCAGUACCGACGUUCAGGCACGAAAGCGUGGGGAGCAAACAGG
rnacentral:rRNA from 1 species